rnacentral:rRNA from 1 species
GAUUUAGGUGAACCUGCGGAAGGAUCAUUACACAAAUAUGAAGGCGGGCUGGAACCUCUCGGGGUUACAGCCUUGCUGAAUUAUUCACCCUUGUCUUUUGCGUACUUCUUGUUUCCUUGGUGGGUUCGCCCACCACUAGGACAAACAUAAACCUUUUGUAAUUGCAAUCAGCGUCAGUAACAAAUUAAUAAUUACAACUUUCAACAACGGAUCUCUUGGUUCUGGCAUCGAUGAAGAACGCAGCGAAAUGCGAUAAGUAGUGUGAAUUGCAGAAUUCAGUGAAUCAUCGAAUCUUUGAACGCACAUUGCGCCCUUUGGUAUUCCAAAGGGCAUGCCUGUUCGAGCGUCAUUUGUACCCUCAAGCUUUGCUUGGUGUUGGGCGUCUUGUCUCUAGCUUUGCUGGAGACUCGCCUUAAAGUAAUUGGCAGCCGGCCUACUGGUUUCGGAGCGCAGCACAAGUCGCACUCUCUAUCAGCAAAGGUCUAGCAUCCAUUAAGCCUUUUUUUCAACUUUUGACCUCGGAUCAGGUAGGGAUACCCGCUGAACUUAAGCAUAUCAAUAAGCGGAGGAAAAGAAACCAACAGGGAUUGCCCUAGUAACGGCGCGUGAACAGGGAAAAU